UAGGCAUCACUGAAGAUUUCCACAUAUUGCUUAUAAGUCCAUGACAGGAAGUUGAGAAUUAAAGUUGACAGGACAUCAUGCACUGUGCUCGGUACCAGCUUUUGAGGGAACCAACCUCAAUGGACAUAGCACGCUACAUCAUAGGACGAUAGAGCUGCCUGGUCUUUUAAGAGAAACUCCAAACUUUGAUGACUGAUGGAAAAGCCUCACAUCCCCCCACUGCUAAAGAACCUCUUAUCGUAAUCACCAGCCAUUAAUCAGCGAUCACAGUUAUAAAAGCUCCAACUAGUCCAAGCUGCAAGUGUGAAGAAGAAGAAAAAGAGGAAGUCAGGAUCAUGAAGAAUCUCGCAGAAACAUUUACAGGAACAAAUUUUAAAACUUGUUAAAUACAAAAAAGUUGGAGGAUGACAUGGAUGACUAUAAAAACCAAAUUGGGAAUAACCUCAAAAGACUAAUAUAAUUAAUUAAAAUCUCACACGUUUGUCUUUUAUCUAAGAAAAUGUAAUUAUCUGGUAAUGCUUAAAAAAAUUACAUGCACAUGUACUAGCUUCUUACAUACUUUGUGGAUUUAAUCAUGAUUGUAGAUUUGUAGUUACUUCCAAAGAUGAUAGUUUUCAAAAUGUUUAAUAUACUGAGAAUUUUAUAGUGGAUAGUUUGUUUUUUUAAUUCACCCAUAUGAAUCAAGAUGUU